UAGCUUAGUGGUAGAGCGGUCGGCUGUUAAAUAACUGAUUGUAGGUUCGGAUCCUAC
rnacentral:tRNA from 1 species